rnacentral:rRNA from 1 species
UACAGAGGUCUCGAGCGUUAGGCGGAAUCACUGGGCUUAAAGCGUGUGUAGGUGGAUCGUUAAGUACCUUGUGAAAUCCCACGGCUUAACCGUGGAACUGCUUGGUAUACUGGCGGUCUUGAGCCACUUAGGGGCUACCGGAACAAAUGGUGGAGCGGUGAAAUGCGUAGAUAUCAUUUGGAACGCCAAUGGUGAAGACAGGUAGCUGGGAGUGUGCUGACACUGAGACACGAAAGCCAGGGGAGCAAACGGG